rnacentral:rRNA from 1 species
GACGAACGUUGGCGGCGUGCUUAAUACAUGCAAGUCAACUGAAGCAGUGGUAGCAAUAUCGCUGUGGAGGUGGCGCACGGGUGAGUAACACGUAGGUAAUCUGCCUUCAGGUCUGGCAUAACUCCGGGAAACCGGGGCUAAUAGCAGAUGAUGCAGCGGCUCGACAUCGAGACAGUUGUUAAAGCUAUGGCGCCUGAAGAUGAGCCUGCGUCUGAUUAGCUAGUUGGCGGGGUAACGGCCCACCAAGGCAACGAUCAGUAGCUGGUCUGAGAGGAUGAUCAGGAACACUGGAACUGAGACACGGUCCAGACUCCGACGGGGGGGAGCAGUAAGGAAUAUUGCUCAAUGGGAGAAAUACUGAAGCAGCAACGCCGCGUGAGGGACGAAGGGCGUUUGCUUGUAAACCUCUGUAGUAAGAGAAAAAAAUCCCAAUCUUUGGGACAUGAUGGUAUCUCAAAAGUAAGCCCCGGCUAACUACGUG